AAAAAAUAACACAUUCCUGACUGCUGCUAGAAAAAAUAUCCCUACACUGCUUCAACGCCUUGACAAGACUCCAAAUGUGAUUGGUGACCACAAUAGGUUAAUGGGGUACUUUUUGGGAUACCUAGUAAUAGUGAGUGGACACAGAUCGGUUGUGUUCACAAACAUGACAAAAGGCGACGUUGUUGUUGCAGGGAACAUGAAGAGCAAAAGGAGAUUCCAUAUCGUGGUUGGUGAUGACAAGCCUCUGGAUGGCUCAGCGAAAGCCUCGGUAGUCCUCACAGAGGAGGAGUAUGGCUGGCUGGAAAAGCUCAUCAACAUCUCAUGCUGCGACGAGACAUCACAGUGCCAGUUUCUUUUUCAUACCAUCAUGGGCACCAAAAUUUACAAACCCCAGAACAUCCUCCAAGAGGCUUGGAUUGACUGUGGUCUGAAAGGCGC